GACGGAGGGUGCAAGCGUUAUCCGGAAUUAUUGGGCGUAAAGCGUCCGCAGGUGGACAUACAAGUCUGCUGUCAAAGUGCAGAGCUUAACUCUGUAAAGGCGGUGGAAACUGUAGGUCUUGAGUAUGGUAGGGGUAGAGGGAAUUCCCGGUGUAGCGGUGAAAUGCGUAGAUAUCGGGAAGAACACCAGUGGCGAAAGCGCUCUACUGGGCCAUAACUGACACUGAGGGACGAAAGCUAGGGGAGCGAAAGGG
rnacentral:rRNA from 1 species